UCGGACGGGGUCAGUAACGCGUGAGAAUCUAGCUUCAGGUCGGGGACAACCACUGGAAACGGUGGCUAAUACCGGAUGUGCCGGAAGGUAAAAGGCUUGCUGCCUGAAGAUGAGCUCGCGUCUGAUUAGCUAGUAGGUGGGGUAAGAGCCUACCUAGGCGACGAUCAGUAGCUGGUCUGAGAGGAUGAUCAGCCACACUGGGACUGAGACACGGCCCAGACUCCUACGGGAGGCAGCAGUGGGGAAUUUUCCGCAAUGGGCGAAAGCCUGACGGAGCAAUACCGCGUGAGGGAGGAAGGCUCUUGGGUUGUAAACCUCUUUUCUCAGGGAAGAACACAAUGACGGUACCUGAGGAAUCAGCAUCGGCUAACUCCGUGCCAGCAGCCGCGGUAAUACGGAGGAUGCAAGCGUUAUCCGGAAUGAUUGGGCGUAAAGCGUCCGCAGGUGGCAAUGUAAGUCUGCUGUUAAAGAGUGAGGCUCAACCUCAUAAAAGCAGUGGAAACUACAUAGCUAGAGUGCGUUCGGGGCAGAGGGAAUUCCUGGUGUAGCGGUGAAAUGCGUAGAUAUCAGGAAGAACACCGGUGGCGAAAGCGCUC
rnacentral:rRNA from 1 species